CCCUUUGAUACUCUGGGCGGCACGCGCGCUACAAUGGAUAACUUAACGUGUUACAUGUCCGAAAGGAUGUAUGCAAAUCACAAAUGUUAUGUCUCGAGUGGGAUAGUUUACUACAAUUAUAGACUUGAACUAGGAAUCCCUUGUAGGUACACUGAAGCAUAGUGUACCGAAUACGUCCCUGCCGUUUGUACACACCGCCCGUCGUUUCUUCCGACUGAUACUCAUUGUGAAUUGCGGGGAUAACAUUGUUUAAAACCGUUGUAAAUGCUGGGUAUUGGAGGAAGAAAAAGGCGUAACA
rnacentral:rRNA from 1 species